rnacentral:sRNA from 1 species
CUAUUGCAGAUGAUGGAUUUGUAAUGAAAGAAAUUUUCUGAAGAAUAAAUACAAAAGAAGUAGAAAGCGUGCUAGAUCAUGAAUAUAAAUAAUGAACUUUUGUAAAUAGGGUGAGCGAUAACUUAAAUUGCGAAUAUAAGUUGAUC